AACGAACGCUGGCGGCAUGCCUAACACAUGCAAGUCGAACGAGAUCUUCGGGUCUAGUGGCGCACGGGUGCGUAACGCGUGGGAAUCUGCCCUUUGGUUCGGAAUAACAGUUGGAAACGACUGCUAAUACCGGAUGAUGACGAAAGUCCAAAGAUUUAUCGCCAGAGGAUGAGCCCGCGUAGGAUUAGCUAGUUGGUGUGGUAAAGGCGCACCAAGUCGACGAUCCUUAGCUGGUCUGAGAGGAUGAUCAGCCACACUGGGACUGACACACGGUCCAGGAGCGGACGGGAGGAGGCAGAGGGGAAUAUUGGACAAUGGGCGCAAGCUUGAUCCAGCAAUGCCGCGUGAGUGAUGAAGGCCUUAGGGUGGUAAAGCUCUUUUACCCGGGAUGAUAAUGACAGUACCGGGAGAAUAAGCUCCGGCUAACUCCGUUCCAGGCGCCGCCGUAA
rnacentral:rRNA from 1 species